GAUGAAGAACGCAGCGAAAUGCGAUACGUAAUGUGAAUUGCAGAAUUCAGUGAAUCAUCGAAUCUUUGAACGCAUAUUGCGCUCUCUGGUAUUCCGGAGAGCAUGCUUGUUUGAGUAUCAGUAAACACAUCAACUUCCAUAUCUUUUUUGAAAUGGGAGUUGGACUUGAGUGAUCCCAACGCUUUUCCUCACCGAAAAGUGGCGGGUUACUUGAAAUGCAGGUGCAGCUGGACUUUUCUCUGAGCUAUAAGCAUAUCUAUUUAGUCUGCCUAAAAAACAGAUUAUUACCUGUGCUGCAGCUAACAUAAAGGAGAUUAGUUCUUGUGCUGACUGAUGCAGGAUUCACAAAGACGGCUUCGGCCGACUUUGUAAACUCGAUCUCAAAUCAAGUAAGACUACCCGCUGAACUUAAGCAUAUCAAUAAGCGGAGGA
rnacentral:misc_RNA from 1 species